rnacentral:tRNA from 2 species
GCCCCCUUAGCUCAGGGGAUAGAGCAUCGGCCUCCGGAGCCGAGUGCGCAGGUUCGAAUCCUGCAGGGGGCG